CGGCGGCCUCCUGAGAAAUGUUUGCAAUUGUAAGGUGUCUCUCUCACCCAGGUUUACCCAGAUUUACAAACUGACGACAAACAACCAUAGCAGAAGUAUGUCCAGAUUAUUUCACAUAUAUCACAAAAUCCUGCAAAGCAGGUAACGAGGAGACCAAAGGCCUAGUUAUUUAUGGAGAUCUGGGGCCACAGCAGAGCUCCUCAUGGCAAGAUAAGCCAGUGGAAAGCAGACUCAACAGCUAACCCCACAGUCCUCCUCAGCAAGCUGGGAGAAGCAACUGAUGCCACUUAGAUGCUUAGACUGGGCCUUCUGGAAGAGAUCUGGCCCAAGGAGCAGCCGGCAGCUUGACACAGUGACCAGUUGGAAGCACAGCAGCCACACGCCAUGAAACAAGGUGAUCAUCUUCACUCAUUUCCUGAGGCCAGAGCCUUUCUUACACAGGACAUGGAUACCCCAGUCCCAGCUGUGCUGAAGUGUCAUGAAGCCUCCCCUGACCCCACCCUGAACAACAGUGAGGGGGGUUAGGUGGCCUCAAAAGAUCUACUCUGUCAACUGGAGCUGUUGAGAAACUCAGGAAAGGAACUAAAAAGGAUAAGAAAGUGGUGCAUUCCGGUGUCUUCUUGUUCUCUGUUGCAGAGAGCCAGCUGGUGGACCGCAGAGACAGACUUCCAGCCAGGGCCAAGCCCUUCAGGAAGGAAGCUAUGUACCAAACUCAGCUAACAGACCACCAGGGCACCACUGGGCCUCC
rnacentral:antisense_RNA from 1 species